UAAAGCGGGGAGAACGGUGUUGCCUCAAUGGCAAUGGCAAUGCCAAUGGAGGUCUCUGCUCUAAGACCAUACUGCCCCUCAUGCCGCUAUCUCUCACGCCCCUUUUCUUCCACACUAUCUUCAUCGACCCUUUUAGCUCCCCAACGAAGAAAAGUACAGUCAAUCCAGAUAGCUAAUAGUGGCCUCCCAAAUAGCACUGUGCGUAGUAAUUCUGUACAAUCUAGAGCAGAUUUUUCAUGCAGUCUAAAGAGGACAUCUGGUAGGUUAAAUAGAUACAAAGGUGCAAGGUAUAAGCGUAGCUUUCCAUUUAAAAGUCCAGUUUGCAUUUCAUUUAUGAAAACCUCAAAUGCAUCAACUGGCAUGUUGGAGGAAACGGUGGAGGAAGAAGAGCUGAAUUCUUUGCAUUCAUGUGAAAAACAAAUUAGUGCAGUGGGUGUGGCUCCUUGUAAUCAUGGAUUUUCCACAACUGCUGCUGAAAGAAAAUUGUCUGGGGGUGAUUAUAGAGGCUGGACUAUAGCCACGGAGAAGAUAACUGAAAAUAAAAAGGAAAUAAAUGGUCCAGAUAAGUUUGAGAGGAAAAAUGGAAGUUCUUAUGCAUCUUAUAGAAUUGCUUCCAUUGGUCAGAACCAGGCUGUUUCUAAGAAAGUGGAUAGUAAUCUUGUACUGCUGGAUCAUGGCGAACAUGUCUCAUCCUCUGUUAACUAUUCUGUAUUAAACAAUUCGAAGGUGUUUACCGAUUCUGAAAGGGUGGCCCCCCAGUUUAAUGAAUCUCCAUUGGGGAUUAGUAAAGAGAAAAUCACUAGAGUUAAUGGUGAUCAUGGUUUGGAUGCAACUGCAAAGGAUUCAACCAAUGCAACAUUUGGCAAACAGGCAGCUGCUACCGACCAAUCAAAACUUCGGCAUAGGCUUUGUAGUAUCUAUGAAGAUAUUCUCGUUGUUGAUAAUAUUCCUCUCGCAGAGGAAGUUUCUAAGUUGCUCACAACUAAGUACCGGCAUCAUAUUUUUGCAUGUGAUACUGAGGUAGCUAAGAUAGAUGUCAAACAAGAAACUCCUGUAGAUCAUGGGGAGAUAAUAUGCUUCAGCAUUUAUUGUGGUUCAGAAGCUGAUUUUGGAGGUGGAAAGUCCUGUAUCUGGGUAGAUGUUGUUGAUGGUGGAGGCAAAGAGAUUUUAGAAAAAUUUGCUGAAUUUUUUAGUGACUCUUCCAUUGAGAAGGUCUGGCAUAAUUAUAGCUUUGAUUGUCAUGUCAUCGAGAAUUAUGGAUUCAAAGUUUCUGGAUUUCAUGCUGAUACAAUGCACAUGGCUCGGUUAUGGGAUUCAUCAAGACAUUUGGAUGGGGGUUAUUCUCUUGAAGGACUUACAGGUGACAGAAGGGUCAUGUCUAGGGCUCAGCUGAACCAUGAAAAGGAUUUGAUUGGUAAGCUGUCCAUGAAAACUAUAUUUAGCAAGAAAAAAGUGAAAAAAGAUGGAUCUGAGGGUAAAACGGUUAUCAUUGCUCCUGUUGAAGAGCUACAGAGAGAUGAGCGCAUACCUUGGAUAUGUUAUUCUGCAUUAGAUGCUAGAAGCACUUUGAAGCUGUAUGAGAGCCUUAAGAGCCAUCUUUCAGACAUGCCCUGGAAAUUUGAUGGUGUACCGGUUUCUGGGAAAAACAUGUAUGAUUUCUACAAUGAGUAUUGGCGGCCAUUUGGUGAGCUUCUAGUCAUGAUGGAAUCUGAGGGAAUGCUAGUUGAUCGGGCAUAUCUUCAGGACAUAGAAAAGGUAGCUAUGGCGGAGCAAGAGGUAGCUGCUAAUAGAUUCCGGAAAUGGGCAAGUAGGUAUUGUCCUGAUGCCAAGUAUAUGAAUGUAGGAAGUGAUUUACAGCUGCGCCAGCUUCUUUUUGGUGGCACUGUGAACAGAAAGAACUCUAAUCUGGGACUUCCAACUGAGAGAAUAUUUAAAAUUCCCAAUGUUGAUAAAGUGAUUGAAGAAGGCAAGAAGGCUCCCAAAAAAUUUUGUGAUAUAAAGUUGACGAGCCUAGGUUAUAACCUGAAGACUGAGAUGUACACUGCAACUGGUUGGCCAUCAGUUAGUGGUGAUGCUUUAAAGGCCCUGGCUGGAAAUAAUUCUGCUGAAUAUGACUUUUUUGAUGAGGCUUGUGACGUGGAUCUUGAUGAUGAAGAUGAAAAUCCUUCUAAAAGUCAUAUUACAGCAGUAAAAGUUGAUAAAUCUGCAUAUGGAACAGCCUUUGCAGCUUUUCCAACAGAGGAAGAAGGGAGAGAAGCUUGUCAUGCAAUUGCUGCUUUAUGUGAAGUCUGUUCAAUCAACUCUUUGAUUUCUAACUUCAUCCUUCCCCUUCAGGGACAUAAUAUAUCAGGAAAAGAUAACCGUGUUCAUUGUUCCUUAAAUAUCAACACUGAGACAGGACGCUUGUCAGCAAGAAGGCCAAAUCUGCAGAAUCAACCUGCUUUGGAAAAAGACCGAUACAAAAUCCGUCAAGCAUUCAUCGCUUCACCUGGGAAUUCUCUUAUAGUUGCUGAUUAUGGACAGCUUGAACUUAGGAUUCUGGCACAUCUUGCCAACUGUAAAAGCAUGUUGGAAGCUUUUGAAGCUGGUGGAGAUUUCCAUUCAAGGACUGCAAUGAAUAUGUACCCAUAUAUUCGUCAAGCAGUUGAGAAAAAGGAAGUGCUUCUUGAGUGGCAUCCCCGACCUGGUGAAGAUAAACCCCCAGUUCCUCUAUUGAAGGUAAACUGUCUGCUGAUGGAAGCAAGUAACCAUUCGUUGACACAUGCAAGUAUUGGCUUUGUCUUUAAUUUGGCAUUUAUUGUAAUGCAACUGAUAGUGUCAGAUAUAGUAAGCACCAGACCAGAGUGCAGGCUGUGCAUUAGGGAGGACUAAUAUUUGUUCUGGUUGAGAGCAGUUCCAUCAACUGAAAAUUCAAUAUAUAUAGAUACUUUAUUAAAAAUGAGAGAAAAAAUCCAGAGCUUAUUAACUUUCCAAUAGAAGUAAAGGGAAGCUACUGGACAUUAUAAUACUCUCUUUAGAGGGAAAGCAACACAUGUCGCACCUGUAGAGGAUGCCUUUGGCUCUGAAAGAAGAAAAGCUAAAAUGCUUAACUUCUCAAUUGCAUAUGGGAAGACUCCUGUGGGGCUUUCUAAGGAUUGGAAGGUUUCUGUGAAAGAAGCUAAGAAAACAGUUGACCUUUGGUACAAUGAUAGAAAAGAAGUUUUACAAUGGCAAGAGGAGCGUAAAAAGGAAGCUCAUGCUUUACAUUGUGUUUACACAUUGCUAGGGCGAGCCCGGCGGUUCCCUUUGAUGGCUCAAGCUAACACCUAUCAGAAAGGUCACAUUGAGCGCGCAGCUAUUAAUACUCCAGUGCAGGGUAGUGCUGCCGAUGUUGCCAUGUGUGCCAUGUUGCAAAUUUCCAAUAAUAAACAGUUGAAGGAGCUUGGCUGGAAAUUGCUUCUACAGGUUCAUGAUGAAGUCAUAUUGGAAGGACCAACCGAGUCGGCUGAGUUUGCAAAGUCCAUAGUUGUUGAGUGCAUGUCCAAACCCUUCAAUGGCAAGAAUAUUCUUAAAGUUGACCUCUCUGUUGAUGCCAAGUGUGCUCAAAACUGGUACUCUGCGAAAUAGGUACUCCAUUAUGCAGCAUGAAAAACCUUGACUUACACUAUUUGGAGAUGUUUCCUCAUUCAGGUAGCUUUGGCUGCAUGGUUCCAUUGGUGAUUGCAAUCCAAAGAUGUUUCUACUUUGGUGCUUCUAUUUUCAAGGCAAACUAAUGCCUUAAAAUUUUGUUAUGUGCCUGAUUUCUAUAGAGGUUUUUCUCGUCCUAAGAGUAGUUCCAGUGUGAUGCUUUGGUAAACCAAAGCAUAGCACGUUUAACUUUGAAGGAAGAAACAUAGGUCAAAGCGACUGGCCUCGGCUUUUGACUGCUUUACUUGGCAGGUUUUGCUUUAUUUUUUAUUAUUAUUUUAAAUGUAUAUCUAGUUUUCAUGCCUUGCAUCAUGCACCGAUAUGGUCUAAUUUGGUUGAUGCAAACCCUAUCAAUAUUGUAUAUAAAUUAUUAUAAUAUGAAAUUAUCCACAUU